AUUGAACGCUGGCGGCAGGCCUAACACAUGCAAGUCGAGCGAGCGGCGGACGGGUGAGUAAUGUCUGGGUAACUGCCUGAUGGAGGGGGAUAACUACUGGAAACGGUCGCUAAUUCCGCAUACCCUCAGAUUUGCCCCGAUGGGAUUAGCUAGUAGGUGGGGUAACGGCUCACCUAGGCGACGAACCCUAGCUGGUCUGAGAGGAUGACCAGCCACACUGGAACGGAGACACGGUCCAGACUCCUACGGGAGGCAGCAGUGGGGAAUAUUGCACAAUGGGCGCAAGCCUGAUGCAGCCAUGCCGCGUGUGUGAAGAAGGCCUUCGGGUUGUAAAGCACUUUCAGCGGGGAGGCGUUACCCGCAGAAGAAGCACCGGCUAACUCCGUGCCAGCAGCCGCGGUAAUAC
rnacentral:rRNA from 1 species